GCCUGGCUGGCUCAAUCAGUAGAGCAUGAGACUCCUGACCUUAGGGUCAUGAGUCCAAGUUCUAUGUUGGGCA
rnacentral:tRNA from 1 species